rnacentral:rRNA from 1 species
AGAGUUUGAUCCUGGCUCAGAUUGAACGCUGGCGGCAGGCCUAACACAUGCAAGUCGAGCGGAUGAAGGGAGCUUGCUCCCUGAUUCAGCGGAGGACGUGUGAGUAAUGCCUAGGAAUCUGCCUGGUAGUGGGGGACAACGUCUCGAAAGGGACGCUAAUACCGCAUACGUCCUACGGGAGAAAGCAGGGGACCUUCGGGCCUUGCGCUAUCAGAUGAGCCUAGGUCGGAUUAGCUAGUUGGUGAGGUAAUGGCUCACCAAGGCUGCGAUCCGUAACUGGUCUGAGAGGAUGAUCAGUCACACUGGAACUGAGACACGGUCCAGACUCCUACGGGAGGCAGCAGUGGGGAAUAUUGGACAAUGGGCGAAAGCCUGAUCCAGCCAUGCCGCGUGUGUGAAGAAGGUCUUCGGAUUGUAAAGCACUUUAAGUUGGGAGGAAGGGCAGUAAGUUAAUACCUUGCUGUUUUGACGUUACCGACAGAAUAAGCACCGGCUAACUUCGUGCCAGCAGCCGCGGUAAUACGAAGGGUGCAAGCGUUAAUCGGAAUUACUGGGCGUAAAGCGCGCGUAGGUGGUUUGUUAAGUUGGAAGUGAAAGCCCCGGGCUCAACCUGGGAACUGCUUUCAAAACUGGCAAGCUAGAGUAUGGCAGAGGGUGGUGGAAUUUCCUGUGUAGCGGUGAAAUGCGUAGAUAUAGGAAGGAACACCAGUGGCGAAGGCGACCACCUGGGCUAAUACUGACACUGAGGUGCGAAAGCGUGGGGAGCAAACAGGAUUAGAUACCCUGRUAGUCCACGCCGUAAACGAUGUCGACUAGCCGUUGGGCUCCUUGAGAGCUUAGUGGCGCAGCUAACGCAUUAAGUCGACCGCCUGGGGAGUACGGCCGCAAGGUUAAAACUCAAAUGAAUUGA